AAAAAAGCCUGCAGUAAUCUAUGGCAAAACAAAGCAGGGAUCAUCUUUUCAUGCCUCAACAAUGGAGUUCUGUUGGGUGACUAGCUCAUAGCAGCAUCUGCAGUGGAAGCAGUUAAUAUUUGUAUUAAAAAAAAAAAAAAGAACGUGAGACUAAGGUAGAACAUUUUAAAAUAACUGUUCUUAAUGUUGCUACGGAGACCUCUAUUAUAGCCAUUGUACGUGAUGUGCAAUGAUUAUAUUCCACGUAGGUAACAUUUCUCGCUCAGACGAGUAGAAGCUGAUGAUUCUCCCACUCAUACAAGACGUGUCAUGAAACUCAGAGGCGAUCAGAGAGGCAAAGGUAAAUAACAGAUAAAUCCCAGACACUUCUUCUUCCAAGAAACCUCACAGAUCUAGGCUAAAUUUUCUGAGAUGCUCUCUCUGGCUUUGAGAAGCGGUGCAGAUUGCCUCACAAUUCUGUACUGUUCCCUUGUCUUUUCUUUCCAGGACACCAGGACACACGGGUGCUACUGAGCAGUGACUGAAACCCAAGACCUGCUGCAGCAUGACACUGGUCCCGGCCGUAGACCGUGAAAUGGGAUGGCCGAGUAUUUGCACGAGGAAGCACUGCCCGGAGCCCAGGACACAAAUCUGCACGGCAGUAAGGUAUUAAACAGCCUCAGCCCUGCUCGGAGAUGGCAGACACACAGCCAUGUGCUCGGUCCUGAGCUCACAGCAGGACCGAUAGCCUCUGGCAGCAGGGCAGCUGCUGGCAGUGGCCUGGUUCAGCCAGGUUUACCUGGAGGCCGGCAGGACACAGCGAGCAGCUUGACCCGGCCUGCAGCCCCUGAGCAUAACCAGGCACCCGCAGACACUUAA
rnacentral:lncRNA from 1 species